UACGUAGGGGGCAAGCGUUGUCCGGAUUUACUGGGCGUAAAGAGCGUGUAGGCGGCCACGCAGGUCCGUUGUGAAAACUGGAGGCUCAACCUCCAGCUGUCGACGGAAACCGUAUGGCUAGAGUCCGGAAGAGGAGAGUGGAAUUCCUGGUGUAGCGGUGAAAUGCGUAGAUAUCGGGAGGAACACCAGUGGGCGAAGGCGGCUUCCUGGCCUGUUCUUGACGCUGAGGCGCGAAAGCUAGGGGAGCAAACGGG
rnacentral:rRNA from 1 species